rnacentral:rRNA from 1 species
GAGCGUAGCAAAUUGCGAUAAUUAAUGCGAAUUGCAGACUUUGUGAAUCAUCGAGUUCUUGAACGCACCUUGCACCUAGUGGUUUAUUCUACUAGGUACGGUUGUUUCAGUAU